AUUGAACGCUGGCGGCAGGCCUAACACAUGCAAGUCGAACGAGUGGCGGACGGGUGAGUAAUGUCUGGGAAACUGCCUGAUGGAGGGGGAUAACUACUGGAAACGGUAGCUAAUACCGCAUACCAUCAGAUGUGCCCAGAUGGGAUUAGCUUGUUGGUGGGGUAAAUGCUCACCAAGGCGACGAUCCCUAGCUGUGCUGAGAGGAUGACCACCCACACUGGAACUGAGACACGGCCCAGACUCCUCCGGGAGGCAGCAGUGGGGAAUAAUGGGCAAUGGGCGAAAGCCUGAUGCAGCCAUGCCGCGUGUAUGAAGAAGGCGUUCGGGUUGUAAAGUACUUUCAUCGGGGAGGCGGUACCCGCAGAAGAAGCACCGGCUAACUCCGUGCCAGCCGCCGCGGUAAUAC
rnacentral:rRNA from 1 species